rnacentral:lncRNA from 1 species
UUCAAUGGAUUUCUUCUUCUGUAUCUUUGGAGCACAAGUAGUUGCUAAUUUUUCCUCAUAGGGUGGAUUGGAAUUGUUCUUCUUCUUCUUCAUCUUCAUCUUUCUUCUACUGCCCUUCCUUGUCAAUUCCAAAGCUCCUCCUCUGCAGCCCUUGCCUAUUCCUAAGCUCCUCCACAACUGCCCUUGUUAAUUCCUAAGCUCAUUUUAUAUGCAAAAACAAAGAGAUUCAAAAGCCAUUCCUUUUUCAUUUGGGAAAGGAAAUAGGGUUACAUCUAUUCCGGCUCACACGCCACACCGCGCCGCCGCCUCCGGUUCGGGCCAAUUAACCCAUGUUUUCUAUGUAUAACUAGGGGCAACGGGAAGAACAUUUUUAGAUUAACUCGUAUUAGUAUCCGUAUGAUGUGCGGAUAAUAUUUAAGUAAAAGUAAUUAUUAAAUAAAGAUAAAUUUAAAAAAUAAUUUAAAUUUACAAAUUUAUCAAAUAGUAAAUCAUAAAAAAAAAUUAUUGACUAA